GAUGAACGCUGGCGGCGUGCCUAAUACAUGCAAGUCGAGCGAACAGACGAGGAGCUUGCUCCUUUGACGUUAGCGGCGGACGGGUGAGUAACACGUAGGUAACCUACCUAUAAGACUGGGAUAACUUCGGGAAACCGGAGCUAAUACCGGAUAAUAUUUCGAACCGCAUGGUUCGAUAGUGAAAGAUGGCUUUGCUAUCACUUAUAGAUGGACCUGCGCCGUAUUAGCUAGUUGGUAAGGUACGGCUUACCAAGGCAACGAUACGUAGCCGACCUGAGAGGGUGAUCGGCCACACUGGAACUGAGACACGGUCCAGACUCCUACGGGAGGCAGCAGUAGGGAAUCUUCCGCAAUGGGCGAAAGCCUGACGGAGCAACGCCGCGUGAGUGAUGAAGGUCUUCGGAUCGUAAAACUCUGUUAUUAGGGAAGAACAAACGUGUAAGUAACUGUGCACGUCUUGACGGUACCUAAUCAGAAAGCCACGGCUAACUACGUG
rnacentral:rRNA from 1 species